GAUGAACGCUGGCGGCGUGCCUAAUACAUGCAAGUCGAGCGAACGGACGAGAAGCUUGCUUCUCUGAUGUUAGCGGCGGACGGGUGAGUAACACGUGGAUAACCUACCUAUAAGACUGGGAUAACUUCGGGAAACCGGAGCUAAUACCGGAUAAUAUUUUGAACCGCAUGGUUCAAAAGUGAAAGACGGUCUUGCUGUCACUUAUAGAUGGAUCCGCGCUGCAUUAGCUAGUUGGUAAGGUAACGGCUUACCAAGGCAACGAUGCAUAGCCGACCCGAGAGGGGGACCAGGCCCACCGGGACUGAGACACGGCCCCGACCCCCAAGGGGGGGAGGAGUGGGGAAUUUUGGCCAAGGGGGGCAAACCCGAACGAGGCAACGCCGGGGUGGGAUGAAGGGUUUCGGGUUUGAAAACCCUUUUUGUAGGGAAGAAACGUAGGGGGAAAAUACUGCGCGCAACUGAAGGUACCUGAAGAAGAAGCCCAGGCUAACUACGUG
rnacentral:rRNA from 1 species